AAACAUGAGAGUUUGAUCCUGGCUCAGAAUCAACGCUGGCGGCGUGCCUAACACAUGCAAGUCGAACGCGAAAACGGGCUUCGGCCCGCAAGUAGAGUGGCAAACGGGUGAGUAACGCGUGGGUGACCUACCUUCGAGUGGGGGAUAACGUUCCGAAAGGGGCGCUAAUACCGCAUGACAUCCCGUCUUUGGAAAGAUGGUGAUCAAAGCUGGGGAUCGCAAGACCUAGCGCUUGUUGAGGGGCCCGCGUCCGAUUAGCUUGUUGGCGGGGUAAUGGCCCACCAAGGCGACAAUCGGUAGCCGGCCUGAGAGGGCGGACGGCCACACUGGGACUGAGACACGGCCCAGACUCCUACGGGAGGCAGCAGUGGGGAAUUGUUCGCAAUGGGCG
rnacentral:rRNA from 1 species